GGGGCCGCCACCUGCUUCCGUGAGCGCGGGGAGAAGCUGGGCACAGCUCGCUUUACUCCCAGUGGAGGGCGGGAAGCAUUUUCAACUUCUUUAAUGAGAAGCAUGUUCAGCCAGCAAAGAAGAAGAAGAAAAAUGGUUAUAGACAAGCAACCAACAGUAUCUGCCAUAGCUAUUUUAUAGCUGUUUAAACUUGGCUGGGGGUGAAAGAUGCCCUUCAGUGUCCCAAAUGAGAGAAGAGAAUUUUAAUUGGGAGUGGCCAAGGUUCACAAUUUCAGCCUGGAGGAAAGUAAAUUAAAGAGGGAAAUUUGGAUACACAAAGAGAUGCCAGGGAUUAACCUACCCAGAGGAAAGGCCACGUGAGGACACAGCAAGAAGGUGGCCGUCUGCAAGCCGAGAGAGGCCUCAGAAGAAGCCAAACCUGCU
rnacentral:lncRNA from 1 species